rnacentral:rRNA from 1 species
CCUACGUGAGGCUGCAGUAGGGAAUCUUCCACAAUGGGCGAAAGCCUGAUGGAGCAACGCCGCGUGGGUGAAGAAGGUCUUCGGAUCGUAAAACCCUGUUGUUAGAGAAGAAAGUGCGUGAGAGUAACUGUUCACGUUUCGACGGUAUCUAACCAGAAAGCCACGGCUAACUACGUGCCAGCAGCCGCGGUAAUACGUAGGUGGCAAGCGUUAUCCGGAUUUAUUGGGCGUAAAGGGAACGCAGGCGGUCUUUUAAGUCUGAUGUGAAAGCCUUCGGCUUAACCGGAGUAGUGCAUUGGAAACUGGGAGACUUGAGUGCAGAAGAGGCGAGUGGAACUCCAUGUGUAGCGGUGAAAUGCGUAGAUAUAUGGAAGAACACCAGUGGUGAAAGCGGCUCUCUGGUCUGUAACUGACGCUGAGGUUCGAAAGCGUGGGUAGCAAACAGGAUUAGAUACCCCGGUAGUC